UACAGAGGUGGCAAGCGUUGUUCGGAAUUACUGGGCGUAAAGGGCGCGUAGGCGGUCUUCUAAGUCUUGUGUGAAAUCCCUCGGCUCAACUGAGGAACUGCACGGGAUACUGGAAGACUUGAGUUCGGGAGAGGGAAGCGGAAUUCCGGGUGUAGCGGUGAAAUGCGUAGAUAUCCGGAGGAACAUCGGUGGCGAAGGCGGCUUCCUGGACCGAUUACUGACGCUGAGGCGCGAAAGCUAGGGGAGCAAACGGG
rnacentral:rRNA from 1 species